rnacentral:rRNA from 1 species
GACGAACGCUGGCGGCGUGCUUAACGCAUGCAAGUCGAACGAUGAACCCGGAGCUUGCUCUGGGGGAUUAGUGGCGAACGGGUGAGUAACACGUGAGUAACCUGCCCUGGACUCUGGGAUAAGCGUUGGAAACGACGUCUAAUACCGGAUAGGACCUUGGAUCGCAUGAUCUGGGGUGGAAAGUUUUUUCGGUCUGGGAUGGACUCGCGGCCUAUCAGCUUGUUGGUGAGGUAAUGGCUCACCAAGGCGUCGACGGGUAGCCGGCCUGAGAGGGUGACCGGCCACACUGGGACUGAGACACGGCCCAGACUCCUACGGGAGGCAGCAGUGGGGAAUAUUGCACAAUGGGCGAAAGCCUGAUGCAGCAACGCCGCGUGCGGGAUGACGGCCUUCGGGUUGUAAACCGCUUUUAGUAGGGAAGAAGGGCUUCGGCUUGACGGUACCUGCAGAAAAAGGACCGGCUAACUACGUG